rnacentral:miRNA from 1 species
UGUGUGUGUGUGUGUGUGUGUGUGUGUGUGUGUGUGUGUGUGUGAUUCCAGAUGCCAGGUGGGGAACAGCACCCCGCCGCCCACA